rnacentral:rRNA from 1 species
ACGAUAUGCUUUGGGGAGCUGUAAGUAAGCUUUGAUCCAGAGAUUUCCGAAUGGGGAAACCCAGCAUGAGUUAUGUCAUGUUAUCGAUAUGUGAAUACAUAGCAUAUCAGAAGGCACACCCGGAGAACUGAAACAUCUUAGUACCCGGAGGAAGAGAAAGAAAAUUCGAUUCCCUUAGUAGCGGCGAGCGAAACGGGAAGAGCCCAAACCAACAAGCUUGCUUGUUGGGGUUGUAGGACACUCUAUACGGAGUUACAAAGGACGACAUUAGACGAAUCAUCUGGAAAGAUGAAUCAAAGAAGGUAAUAAUCCUGUAGUCGAAAAUGUUGUCUCUCUUGAGUGGAUCCUGAGUACGACGGAGCACGUGAAAUUCCGUCGGAAUCUGGGAGGACCAUCUCCUAAGGCUAAAUACUCUCUAGUGACCGAUAGUGAACCAGUACCGUGAGGGAAAGGUGAAAAGCACCCCGGAAGGGGAGUGAAAUAGAACCUGAAACCGUGUGCUUACAAGUAGUCAGAGCCCGUUAAUGGGUGAUGGCGUGCCUUUUGUAGAAUGAACCGGCGAGUUACGAUUUGAUGCAAGGUUAAGCAGUAAAUGUGGAGCCGUAGCGAAAGCGAGUCUGAAUAGGGCGUUUAGUAUUUGGUCGUAGACCCGAAACCAGGUGAUCUACCCUUGGUCAGGUUGAAGUUCAGGUAACACUGAAUGGAGGACCGAACCGACUUACGUUGAAAAGUGAGCGGAUGAACUGAGGGUAGCGGAGAAAUUCCAAUCGAACCUGGAGAUAGCUGGUUCUCUCCGAAAUAGCUUUAGGGCUAGCCUCAAGUGAUGAUUAUUGGAGGUAGAGCACUGUUUGGACGAGGGGCCCCUCUCGGGUUACCGAAUUCAGACAAACUCCGAAUGCCAAUUAAUUUAACUUGGGAGUCAGAACAUGGGUGAUAAGGUCCRUGUUCGAAAGGGAAACAGCCCAGACCACCAGCUAAGGUCCCAAAAUAUAUGUUAAGUGGAAAAGGAUGUGGCGUUGCCCAGACAACUAGGAUGUUGGCUUAGAAGCAGCCAUCAUUUAAAGAGUGCGUAAUAGCUCACUAGUCGAGUGACACUGCGCCGAAAAUGUACCGGGGCUAAACAUAUUACCGAAGCUGUGGAUUGUCCUUUGGACAAUGGUAGGAGAGCGUUCUAAGGGCGUUGAAGCAUGAUCGUAAGGACAUGUGGAGCGCUUAGAAGUGAGAAUGCCGGUGUGAGUAGCGAAAGAYGGGUGAGAAUCCCGUCCACCGAUUGACUAAGGUUUCCAGAGGAAGGCUCGUCCGCUCUGGGUUAGUCGGGUCCUAAGCUGAGGCCGACAGGCGUAGGCGAUGGAUAACAGGUUGAUAUUCCUGUACCACCUAUAAUCGUUUUAAUCGAUGGGGGGACGCAGUAGGAUAGGCGAAGCGUGCGAUUGGAUUGCACGUCUAAGCAGUAAGGCUGAGUAUUAGGCAAAUCCGGUACUCGUUAAGGCUGAGCUGUGAUGGGGAGAAGACAUUGUGUCUUCGAGUCGUUGAUUUCACACUGCCGAGAAAAGCCUCUAGAUAGAAAAUAGGUGCCCGUACCGCAAACCGACACAGGUAGUCAAGAUGAGAAUUCUAAGGUGAGCGAGCGAACUCUCGUUAAGGAACUCGGCAAAAUGACCCCGUAACUUCGGGAGAAGGGGUGCUCUUUAGGGUUAACGCCCAGAAGAGCCGCAGUGAAUAGGCCCAAGCGACUGUUUAUCAAAAACACAGGUCUCUGCUAAACCGUAAGGUGAUGUAUAGGGGCUGACGCCUGCCCGGUGCUGGAAGGUUAAGAGGAGUGGUUAGCUUCUGCGAAGCUACGAAUCGAAGCCCCAGUAAACGGCGGCCGUAACUAUAACGGUCCUAAGGUAGCGAAAUUCCUUGUCGGGUAAGUUCCGACCCGCACGAAAGGCGUAACGAUUUGGGCACUGUCUCAACGAGAGACUCGGUGAAAUCAUAGUACCUGUGAAGAUGCAGGUUACCCGCGACAGGACGGAAAGACCCCGUGGAGCUUUACUGUAGCCUGAUAUUGAAAUUCGGCACAGCUUGUACAGGAUAGGUAGGAGCCUUUGAAACGUGAGCGCUAGCUUACGUGGAGGCGCUGGUGGGAUACUACCCUAGCUGUGUUGGCUUUCUAACCCGCACCACUUAUCGUGGUGGGAGACAGUGUCAGGCGGGCAGUUUGACUGGGGCGGUCGCCUCCUAAAAGGUAACGGAGGCGCUCAAAGGUUYCCUCAGAAUGGUUGGAAAUCAUUCAUAGAGUGUAAAGGCAUAAGGGAGCUUGACUGCGAGACCUACAAGUCGAGCAGGGUCGAAAGACGGACUUAGUGAUCCGGUGGUUCCGCAUGGAAGGGCCAUCGCUCAACGGAUAAAAGCUACCCCGGGGAUAACAGGCUUAUCUCCCCCAAGAGUUCACAUCGACGGGGAGGUUUGGCACCUCGAUGUCGGCUCAUCGCAUCCUGGGGCUGUAGUCGGUCCCAAGGGUUGGGCUGUUCGCCCAUUAAAGCGGUACGCGAGCUGGGUUCAGAACGUCGUGAGACAGUUCGGUCCCUAUCCGUCGUGGGCGUAGGAAAUUUGAGAGGAGCUGUCCUUAGUACGAGAGGACCGGGAUGGACAUACCUCUGGUGUACCAGUUGUCGUGCCAACGGCAUAGCUGGGUAGCUAUGUGUGGACGGGAUAAGUGCUGAAAGCAUCUAAGCAUGAAGCCCCCCUCAAGAUGAGAUUUCCCAACUUCGGUUAU